rnacentral:rRNA from 1 species
UACGAAGGUCCCAAGCGUUAUCCGGAUUUAUUGGGUUUAAAGGGCGUGUAGGCGGUACCAUAAGUCAGAUGUGAAAGCCCUAGGCUUAACCUAGGAGGUGCAUUUGAUACUGUGGAACUAGAGAUCGAGAGAGGUAAGUGGAAUUACGAGUGUAGAGGUGAAAUUCGUAGAUAUUCGUAAGAACACCAGUGGCGAAGGCGACUUACUGGCUCGAUACUGACGCUAAGGCGCGAAAGCGUGGGGAGCAAACAGG